CGGCACGAGGGUUGCUGGAACGUCAGUUGGGAUGGAGGGUUGGAACAGGUGAGAACAUCUCGAUUUGGCAAGAUCGGUGGGUACCACAAUUGGUGGGGAACAAGAUUAAUACAUGACCCGUUCAUGUUUCAGUCCAAACAGUGAGUCAACUAAUUGAUCAGGAAAAUCGGAUAUGGAAAGAAGAGCUAAUUUUCAGUCGUUUUUCUAAUAAGGAGGUGGAGGCGAUCAAGUGUA
rnacentral:lncRNA from 1 species